rnacentral:rRNA from 1 species
GAAAGUAAGCAAGGGCAGACGGUGGAUGCCUUGGCUCUCGGAGGCGAUGAAGGACGUGAUAAGCUGCGAUAAGCUUGGGGUAGGUGCAAAUAACCUUUGAUCCCAAGAUUUCCGAAUGGGGCAACCCGGCUGGUAGAAGGCCAGUCAUUCCGUAAGGAAGGCGAACGUGGGGAACUGAAACAUCUAAGUACCCAUAGGAGAAGAAAACAAAAGUGAUUCCGCAAGUAGUGGCGAGCGAACGCGGAACAGCCCAAACCGAUGAUGUUUAGGCAUUGUCGGGGUAGUAGGACCACGUUGUGGCAAGAGAUUAAGGAAGUAGAACGUUUUGGAACAAACGGCCGUAGACGGUGAAAGCCCAGUAUACGACUCUUUAACGAAGCCUAGUGGAAUCCUGAGUAGCGCGGAGCACGAGAAAUUCUGUGUGAAUCAGCGGGGCCCAUCCCGUAAGGCUAAAUACUCCCGAGAGACCGAUAGCGAACCAGUACUGUGAAGGAAAGGUGAAAAGCACCUCGAACAGAGGAGUGAAAUAGUCCCUGAAACCGUCUGCCUACAAGCGGUCGGAGCAACGUAAGUUGUGACGGCGUGCCUUUUGCAUAAUGAACCUACGAGUUACUUUCUCCGGCAAGGUUAAGGGCUUCAGGCCCGGAGCCGAAGCGAAAGCGAGUCUUAAUAGGGCGUGAUAGUCGGAGUGAGUAGACGCGAAACCAAGUGAUCUACCCUUGGUCAGGAUGAAGGUUGGGUAACACCAACUGGAGGUCCGAAUGGGUAUACGUUGAAAAGUGUUCCAAUGAACUGAGGGUAGGGGUGAAAGGCUAAUCAAACUUGGAGAUAGCUCGUACUCCCCGAAAUGCAUUUAGGUGCAGCCUUUAUUUAGUAUAGCAUGAGGUAGAGCGACUGAUUGGAUGCGAGGGCUUCACCGCCUAUCAAGUCCAGAUAAACUCCGAAUGCGUGCUAUAUAUUGAUAAGGAGUGAGGGCGCGGGUGCUAAGGUCCGCGUCCGAGAGGAGAAGAAUCCAGACCAUCAGCUAAGGUCCCCAAAUAACAGUUAAGUUGAACUAACGAAGUCGGACUGCAGAGACAGCUAGGAUGUUGGCUUGGAAGCAGCCAUUCAUUUAAAGAGUGCGUAACAGCUCACUAGUCGAGGAGUCCGGCGUGGAUAAUACUCGGGCAUAAACUGUUUACCGAAGCUAUGGAUGUAGAAAUACAUGGUAGGGGAGCAUUCCAACGGCGUCGAAGGUGAAGGAUGACCUUUGCUGGAGCUUUUGGAAACGCAAAUGUAGGUAUAAGUAACGAUAAAGGAGGUGAGAAACCUCCUCGCCGAAAGACUAAGGUUUCCUGAUCAACGUUAAUCGGAUCAGGGUAAGUCGGGACCUAAGGUUAAGCCGAACGGCGAUACCGAUGGAAGAAUGGUUUAAUAUUCCCAUACUACUUUAUGGAGCGAUGUGGAGACGGAGAAGUGAAAGUCCUGCCAUCUGACGGAAUAGGUGGUUGAAGAGUGUAGAUGUAGAUUCCUGUAGGCAAAUCCGCAGGGAGAGUCGACCUUGAUAGUAUGCCGCGUGCUUGCACAAGGCAAAAUGGACGUAAUCAGGCUCCCAAGAAAAUCCGCUAAGCAUAUUCAUAAAGUACCCGUACCGUAAACGGACACACGUAGUUGGGUUGAAAAUACUGAGGCGCUCGAGUGAUUCACGGUUAAGGAACUAGGCAAAUUGACCCUGUAACUUCGGGAUAAAGGGUCCCUACUGAGAGGUAGGGCGCAGAGAAUAGGUCCAGGCAACUGUUUAACAAAAACACAUGGCUGUGCGAAAUAGAAAUAUGAAGUAUACAGCCUGACACCUGCCCGGUGCUGGAAGGUUAAGAGGAGAGCUCAUCGCAAGAGAAGGCUUGAAUUGAAGCCCCAGUAAACGGCGGCCGUAACUAUAACGGUCCUAAGGUAGCGAAAUUCCUUGUCGGGU